CGAUGUCUGAGGCCGUUUAUGAGGAGAUUCAGCACAGACACAAUCACUUCACUCAGAGGGGGAGUCUCAUCUCUGAAGAACUGCAUUCUGGGUAUGAAGAUGCUGAUGAGCUUCUCUCAGAAGAGAUGGUGAAGGAAAUCACACCGGGAUACUAUGAUGAUGUCAUCACUGAUGGACUGAAACCAGAUCGUGAGACAGAAGACACACCUGAGAGCUAUGAUGAUGUCAUGACGAGCGGACCCAACUCUGAUAUCAAAAAAGGUGUUUUACUUUAUAAAUUUUUUAAAAAUAAUAUCACUCUACAAUCAAGAUCAUUUCAGAUAAUAUUUUAAAUUACUGCCUUAAUGGGUUUUUGG